rnacentral:rRNA from 1 species
UACGUAGGGCCCGAGCAUUAUCCGGAAUUAUUGGGCGUAAAGAGCGUGUAGGUUUUGUUACAAGUCGGUCGUUAAAUCUCAGAGCUCAACUCUGAGACCGCGAGCGAUACUGUAGCAAUAGAGGUUUGCAGGGGCUAGCAGAAUUUCUGGAGUAGGGGUGAAAUCCGUUGAUACCAGAAGGAAUACCAAUGGCGAAGGCAGCUAGCUGGGCAAUACCUGACACUGAGACGCGAAAGCGUGGGGAGCGAACAGG